UACGGAGGGUGCAAGUGUUAUUCGGAAUCACUGGGCGUAAAGAGCACGUAGGCGGAUAGGCAAGUCAGAUGUGAAAUCCCGGAGCUCAACUCCGGAACUGCAUUUGAUACUGCCUGUCUUGAGUGAGGUAGAGGGGAGUGGAAUUCCCGGUGUAGAGGUGAAAUUCGUAGAUAUCGGGAGGAACACCAGAGGCGAAGGCGACUCCCUGGGCCUCUACUGACGCUGAGGUGCGAAAGCGUGGGGAGCAAACAGGAUUAGAUA
rnacentral:rRNA from 1 species